ensembl:snoRNA
AGGAUCUUUGAGGAAUUGGGGUGUGUGAGUUAAGUAUGAUGAAAACAGGUGUAUGAAACUCUGAAUUCUCA